rnacentral:rRNA from 1 species
UACGUAGGUGGCAAGCGUUGUCCGGAAUUAUUGGGCGUAAAGCGCGCGCAGGCGGUUCUUUAAGUCUGAUGUGAAAGCCCACGGCUCAACCGUGGAGGGUCAUUGGAAACUGGGGAACUUGAGUACAGAAGAGGAAAGCGGAAUUCCACGUGUAGCGGUGAAAUGCGCAGAUAUCGGGAGGAACACCAGUAGCGAAGGCGGCACUCUGGGCCGGUACUGACGCUGAGGAGCGAAAGCGUGGGGAGCGAACAGG